rnacentral:lncRNA from 1 species
ACGCAUCAUGUCAGGAAGAAAUAUUUUUCGCCUCCAGAGGCCUCAACCAUGAAGACUGUGCUCUAGUUGACUUUCUAGAUGCCUCAACCAUGAGCAGUUCUUGGCCUGGGCCGAAGUCUCUGCUCGGGUUGACUUUUUUGCACUGUUCAAUUCCUCAAAUGAGUAAUUACUAAUUUUGCUUAAGAAAAUAAUCACCAAGAUUUUAUGCUCUCAAUCCCAAAUUGGUAGAGGAUAAAAAGAAAGGAGAAACCCGCCUUGUUCGACACGUACAAUUAAGCGAUCUUUUGGGCACGGUCACAACUCAUUAAAGGUCAGACAAGGUUGGCCUCCACUUAGCAUAUUUGUUUCUGGAUAGUACACGACGGGUUAGUGCCCUCAGCCCACAGAAUGAGUUGGAAACCAGUUGAUGCCCAUGUGACUCUCCCCCGCCCCCCUCCAUUUACUUGCAUGCCGCUGUCUCUCCUCCUUCCAUUGGUUUGACAGCAUGGUCUGACAGGAGAAUCCGUCAAAGACAAAACCAUGGACAUCUCUCUCUCUCUCUCUCGCAGUUCUAACUCGCAUUAUAUAUCGAACCUCAUAACUGUCAUCUUCUCUAUCAGAAGAAGCCGCCAUGGCUUGCAUGAUUUCAGAUGAGAUGCUGGGGACGUUCGUACCUGUUCUGGUUUACUGGGCCUACUCCGGGCUGUACGUGCUGGUCGGAUCCUUCGACAAGUACCGGCUGCACUCAAGGAAGGAGGAAGAAGCCAAGAACUCAGCCUCCAAGGGGAAGGUCGUCGUCGGCGUCCUCGUUCAGCAGGCGUUCCAAAUCGCUGUCUCCCUCCUCCUCUUCACGGUAAUGAACGUAAAAACCAACUUGAUCUCAAAUCAGGACGUGUUCGAGUGUCUUACCUUUGGCUGGAUCCCAAGCAGAUGGCUCCCAAAGCCGAGGCGACCACCGCGAAGCCUUCCAUCUUGGUGGUGGGAUUGCAGUUCGCGGUGGCGAUGCUGGUUCUGGACACAUGGCA